UACUAUAGUAUUGGCAGCAGUGUAUGGGCCUAAAGUUGGAAUAAGAAAGAAUGAAAACCCUGAGAAGGCUUCAAUUGAGGUUAUUUGGAAGCCAAAAAUGGGGUAGAUUGGCAAUGCAGAAAGGGAGUAUGAGAUGAUCCUUAAGAGAACAUUGCAUAGCAUCUGCCUUUUGACGAUACAUCCGAACACCACAACCUCUGUUAUACUUCAGAUAUUUUAGUAAUUACAUCAACCUCUCCAUGAAGAUUGGGGUGGAUGGUUCAAGAUUCAAAGGCGAUAUGUAGGGAGCAAUACUGAAUUCGUGUGGAUGCAUUUUCAUCAAGACUACUUGGCAAUAAGAGUGAGGUGGAUGGACUGAUCUUGUGUCGAAGAGGGUGCAUCCAAUAGGCAGAUCGUCAUCCAUAGUUUUACAACUCGUCGAGUCUACCCAAAACAAGGCCAUAAACUCAACAAAUUAACUCGACUGAAGUCACAGGACUCGUCCUAGUCAUAUUUUUCAUCCAAUAGGUAUUCUCUUCCUUUAGACUUUGUUCUAUAGCAUAGUGUUUAUAAUUAUCACUUUCCUUGCAAUAGUAGAUGGCAAAACAAGAUUCAUCGUAAUUUUUUGAAUAGGAUUCUUAUUAAACAAUCGUGUGAAUUAUUUUUUGAAUGACCAUCAGGUGUAAGA